AGCGAACGCUGGCGGCAGGCUUAACACAUGCAAGUCGAGCGGGCAUCCUUGUGGCGUCAGCGGCAGACGGGUGAGUAACGCGUGGGAACGUGCCCUUCGGUUCGGAAUAACUCAGGGAAACUUGAGCUAAUACCGGAUACGUGCGAGAGCAGAAAGGUUUAUCUGCCGAAGGAUCGGCCCGCGUCUGAUUAGCUAGUUGGUGAGGUUAUGGCUCACCAAGGCGACGAUCAGUAGCUGGUCUGAGAGGAUGAUCAGCCACACUGGGACUGAGACACGGCCCAGACCCCUACGGGAGGCAGCAGUGGGGAAUAUUGGACAAUGGGGGCAACCCUGAUCCAGCCAUGCCGCGUGAGUGAUGACGGCCUUAGGGUUGUAAAGCUCUUUUCUCCGGGACGAUAAUGACGGUACCGGAGGAAUAAGCCCCGGCUAACUUCGUG
rnacentral:rRNA from 1 species